GAAGGUUUGGCUGAGUGGUCUAAGGCACCAGAUUUAGGCUCUGGUCCGGAAGGGCAUGGGUUUAAAUCCCACAGCUGUCA
rnacentral:tRNA from 1 species